rnacentral:rRNA from 1 species
UACGUAGGGGGCAAGCGUUGUCCGGAAUUAUUGGGCGUAAAGAGCGUGUAGGCGGUCCGGUAAGUCAGCUGUGAAAGUCAAGGGCUCAACCCUUGAAUGCCGGUUGAUACUGUCGGGCUAGAGUCCGGAAGAGGCGAGUGGAAUUCCUGGUGUAGCGGUGAAAUGCGUAGAUAUCAGGAGGAACACCGGUGGUGUAGACGGCUCACUGGACCGUAACUGACGCUGAGACACGAAGACGUGGGUAGCAAACAGG